rnacentral:tRNA from 1 species
GGGCCGGUGAGCUAGUGGAUAAGCUGCCCUUUCUACUGGGCGAAUCGGGAGUUCGAAUCUCCCUCGGUCCA